rnacentral:rRNA from 1 species
UACGUAGGGUGCGAGCGUUGUCCGGAAUUAUUGGGCGUAAAGAGCUUGUAGGCGGUCUGUCGCGUCUGCUGUGAAAAUCCGGGGCUCAACCCCGGACUUGCAGUGGGUACGGGCAGACUAGAGUGUGGUAGGGGAGACUGGAAUUCCUGGUGUAGCGGUGAAAUGCGCAGAUAUCACGAGGAACACCGAUGGCGAAGGCAGGUCUCUGGGCCACUACUGACGCUGAGAAGCGAAAGCAUGGGGAGCGAACAGG